rnacentral:rRNA from 1 species
AUUGAACGCUGGCGGCAGGCCUAACACAUGCAAGUCGAACGAGUGGCGGACGGGUGAGUAAUGUCUGGUAAACUGCCCGAUGGAGGGGGAUAACUACUGGAAACGGUAGCUAAUACCGCAUACCAUCGGAUUUGCCCAGAUGGGAUUAGCUAGUAGGUGGGGUAAUGGCUCACCUAGGCGACGAUCCCUAGCUGGUCUGAGAGGAUGACCAGCCAAACUGGAACUGAGACACGGCCAAAACUCCAACGGAAGGAAGCAGUGGGGAAUAUUGGAAAAUGGGGGCAAGCCGGAUGAAGCCAUGCCGGGUGUAUGAAGAAGGCCUUCGGGUUGUAAAGUACUUUCAGCGAGGAGGCGUUACUCGAAGAAGAAGCACCGGCUAACUCCGUGCCAGCCGCCGCGGUAAUUC